rnacentral:lncRNA from 1 species
CUCAUAGUGGCAGCCUCAACCCACUGCUUCCCAUGCCCAGGAGCCUCAUUUCAUUCCUACCUGGCUCUGGCUGCCUUGCUCUGGCAGUGUUGCAGGAGAACUGCUCUACAGCUGUGUCUCUGGGCCCACCUCCUUCUGCUCAUGGCAGGUUGAUGACUUGCUGUGUUGAGGGCUGCCAGUGGACGAUGUUAUCAACCUUGGCUUUACCAGUGCCCCAGUGGAACUGCACCGCCAAGGAAGGCCUGACUCAGCAGUCUCAGUGGGUCACAAGCACGGGGAAGCUCUCAAUCCUGUCAACUUGAAGUCUGGCAGAAGGAAUUGCUGACACUUCAGUGACAUCUUCCAGUUGGAUCUCAAGGAUGAAUUCUUAUCUUUUGCUUGCCUUGCACGAUCGACAGUGCCCUACCUGGGACGCACUCUUAAGUAGCACUCACUUUGUGACUCUCUGUUAAUUAAUCUGAAAUCCUGUAUCAAAAAUACUACUAGGUCACAGUACAGAUGAUAGCUCCCAACAGUUUAUUUUGUUCAAUGUAUAGAUGCUUCAAAAAAGAUGCCUGGUUGGGAGGUGUUGGCUUUUUAUAAAAUUCUGAUGUUAAAACCAUGAAAAAGAACUGUAUAU